rnacentral:rRNA from 1 species
CUACGGGGCGCAGCAGUGGGGAAUAUUGCACAAUGGACGAAAGUCUGAUGCAGCAACGCCGCGUGGAGGAUGACACUUUUCGGAGCGUAAACUCCUUUUAUAUAGGAAGAUAAUGACGGUACUAUAUGAAUAAGCACCGGCUAACUCCGUGCCAGCAGCCGCGGUAAUACGGAGGGUGCAAGCGUUACUCGGAAUCACUGGGCGUAAAGAGCGUGUAGGCGGGUUAAUAAGUCAGAAGUGAAAUCCAAUGGCUCAACCAUUGAACUGCUUUUGAAACUGUUAACCUAGAAUAUGGGAGAGGUAGAUGGAAUUUCUGGUGUAGGGGUAAAAUCCGUAGAGAUCAGAAGGAAUACCGAUUGCGAAGGCGAUCUACUGGAACAUUAUUGACGCUGAGACGCGAAAGCGUGGGGAGCAAACAGGAUUAGAUACCCGUGUAGUC